GAUUCCUACGGGGCGCAGCAGUGGGGGAUAUUGCACAAUGGGGGGAACCCUGAUGCAGCGACGCCGCGUGGGUGAAGGAGCGCUUCGGCGCGUAAAGCCCUAUCGGCAGGGAAGAAGAUGACGGUACCUGACCAAGAAGCCCCGGCUAACUACGUGCCAGCAGCCGCGGUAAUACGUCGGGGGCAAGCGUUAUCCGGAUUUUCUGGGUGUAAAGGGGGCGCAGACGGCAAUGCAAGCCAGGAGCGAAAGCCCGGGGCCCAACCCCGGGACUGCCCUUGGGACUGCAUGGCUGGAGUACAGGAGGG
rnacentral:rRNA from 1 species